rnacentral:rRNA from 1 species
AGUGAACGCUGGCGGUAGGCCUAACACAUGCAAGUCGAACGGCAGCACAGUAAGAGCUUGCUCUUACGGGUGGCGAGUGGCGGACGGGUGAGGAAUACAUCGGAAUCUACUUUUUCGUGGGGGAUAACGUAGGGAAACUUACGCUAAUACCGCAUACGACCUACGGGUGAAAGCAGGGGAUCUUCGGACCUUGCGCGAUUGAAUGAGCCGAUGUCGGAUUAGCUAGUUGGCGGGGUAAAGGCCCACCAAGGCGACGAUCCGUAGCUGGUCUGAGAGGAUGAUCAGCAAAACUGGAACUGGAAAACGGUCCAGCCUCCUACGGGGGGCAGAAGUGGGGAAUAUUGGAAAAUGAGGGCAAGCUUGAUCCAGCAAUACGGCGUGGGUGAGGAAGGCCUUCGGUUUGUAAAGCCCUUUUGUUGGGAAAAAAAAGCAGCAGGUUAAUACCCCGCUGUUCUGACGGUACCCAAAGAAUAAGCACCGGCUAACUUCGUG